UUUUCUCUCUCUCUCUCUCUCUUUCCUUUACUAGUAUUUUGAAGGCUGGAAGAAAAAUUACCACCAAUUAUAUCCCCAGUCCGGUAUAUAGAGUGUUAAAUGUGUAUAGAGAGUACUACUUUCUAUCGCCUGGGUUCAUCUUUUAUCCUUCUUUCUUGAUUGUUAUAAUUUUCAAUUAUAAUGACGGCGUGAUUCCGGCAAUAUCGUCAUAGUUUAAAUUUUAAAAAUAGAUGCUGAUUGACAGUGUGUGGUUCCAGUCUACCUAGAAAUCAAAAGUGAACUGAAAUUUUGGUACAGUUUCGAUUCAGUUUCGAUUCAGUUCUUCAUUAUUUCGAUUUCAGUUCGAUACAGUUCUCAAUUUUUUGGUUUCGAUUUGAUUUGGUACGGUUUUAAUUUAUUUCUCG
rnacentral:misc_RNA from 1 species